rnacentral:rRNA from 1 species
UACGUAGGGGGCGAGCGUUGUCCGGAUUCAUUGGGCGUAAAGCGCGUGUAGGCGGCCCGAUAAGUCCGCUGUGAAAGUCCAGGGCUCAACCCUGGAAUGCCGGUGGAUACUGUCGGGCUCGAGUCCGGAAGAGGCGAGUGGAAUUCCUGGUGUAGCGGUGAAAUGCGUAGAGAUCGGCAGGAACACCCAGGGGGAAACCAGUCGACUGGGCAUCGUACUGACG